UAUAUAUUGGAUCGAUAGGUCAUUGGACCGUUAGAUCUUUUUUCGAGUAACUAAGAAAUUAAGGAAGUAAUUAUGCGCCUUUUGGGUCGAGAAUGAAGUCUGCGUGUUUUUCGGUUAAUGGUCUUAAGCCUUAGUCGUUGAGAGUGAAAGUCAAGUCAUAUGGUGUUUCAAAUGGUCAAGCAUGGGGUUAAUAUGUCUUUGGCCUGUUUGGCCGUUUUUCGAUCAAUCUAUGGGUUUAAUGAGCACAGUACAUUCCGUUUGUGUGCUAUUGUGAAUCUGCAUGUUUUCGUUAAUUGAUUUCAAGUGUUGGUCAUAUGGAACGAAAGUGAAAAAAGAUGGAAAGUUGUAAGUAAUAUGCAGGCCCAAACAUAAUUUCAUGGCAAUGGUCUGCAUUUUAAUGGUGGAAGCUGUUGGAAAACAUGAGAAGAUCUGAACUAGGCGCUAAUUACGGUGAUCAUGAAAUAAAGCGAGGCGAUUGGUGUGAAUUCUAUGGGAAUCGAAGUAACCGACCAAAUCGAUUGUCAUAUUUUAUUUGGAGUGUCAAUUCCACUUAUCUACUUAUAAAUGGGUCACUUUGGGCUGUGGUUUACCUUUAACGGGUCAAAUGGGUCCAAAAAGAUGUAGCUGAAAAAUAUCAAGUUCUAAUGGGUUACAAGUCUCAUCAAGUUUAGAUUUACGUCAUUGAAAAUUGUUUAUCUAGAAUUAUUAUAAUAAAAAAAUCAAAAUAUAGCUACUGUUGACCAUUUUGUAAUCGGUAUAAUUAUAAUAUUUAAACGUUUUUACCUUUCUUCUUUGUAUUGCAGGACAACAAAUUGGAAUAACCAGUAUUCGGUAUCUUCUAAUGUUCAUACCACUUAUUCGUUCUUAGUUUUGGAAUAACCUUUCUUCUUUGUAACCUACUUCAAUGGAGAACAUUUGGAACCAUUAUUCGAAAGCAUCAUGGAGCCAUACCAUAGAUAUCAAUUUUUGGGCCGCCUUUAGGUGAUCUCUAUAGUUCAAGUUUUUUUUCAAUUCCGGAUUGUGGCUGCUGAAGAAGCUUAAGUACAUCUUGCAUUCAUUACUUGACUUAAGAAUACACGUUGCAUUCAUCAAUUGACUUUCCAAGGUCUGCUGACAAUUCGAGAUUGGAUACUCUGGUGGAUGAGGACGCAAAAGAAAAUCUGGGGCCCAUGAAGAUAAGUAGCAGGAAAUGGCGCAUUGCGGAUUUUGAGUCGGAUGAAGAGGCUCGCGUCAGCGUGGCAGCCAAGAACAGUCCACGCCAGCAUGGAUAAAGCCUUCAGACAUGUCAGAUGCCGUAUGUUUUAAUUUUUAUAUUUCAUAGGUAACAAGUUGAGAUCAGGUUGGGUAACGGCUUGAAUUGGCCAUGUUUUAAUAUGGAUCAUAACGGGCUUGGGCAAGUUUUGUAACAAGCAUUGGUUGUCCAAUUUUCAAUAUAUGAAUAGUUCAUUAUUUAUGAUCUGAAAACAAUUUUAUUGCAACAAUUAUCUAUAUCUUGGAAAACGAUA